GUUCUUCCUGUGGAUAUCGAGGCCGGUAAUUGGUUCAUGCUUACGUUCGGCUUUACUCCAGAGUGUGAGGAUUAUGAACCCGUAGAAAGAGAGAGUGCAACUAGCAUGAAGCAGCCAAAACAAGAAGAUGAAAUCUACUCUGGAUGAGAGUUCUUUUAUGUGGGAGCCAAGCAGGAAAUAACUGCUAGACAGCCAGAAAAAGCCUCCAUUCAACAGGAAAAAAAGCCAACCAGAAAAAAAGACAAAACAGAAAAAUCUUUUGGAAGGAGGGAUUACAG